UACGUAGGGGGCUAGCGUUGUCCGGAAUCAUUGGGCGUAAAGCGCGCGUAGGCGGCCCGGUAAGUCCGUUGUGAAAGUCAAAGGCUCAACCUUUGAAAGCCGAUGGAUACUGCCAGGCUAGAGUCCGGAAGAGGCGAGUGGAAUUCCUGGUGUAGCGGUGGAAUGCGCAGAUAUCAGGAGGAACACCGAUAGCGAAGGCAGCUCGCUGGGACGGUACUGACGCUGAGGCGCGAAAGCGUGGGGAGCGAACAGG
rnacentral:rRNA from 1 species